UCGUAACAAGGUCUCCGUUGGUGAACCAGCGGAGGGAUCAUUACCGAGUUAUUCAACUCAUCAACCCUGUGAACAUACCUAAACGUUGCUUCGGCGGGAACAGACGGCCCCGUGAAACGGGCCGCCCCCGCCAGAGGACCCCUAACUCUGUUUCUAUAAUGUUUCUUCUGAGUAAAACAAGCAAAUAAAUUAAAACUUUCAACAACGGAUCUCUUGGCUCUGGCAUCGAUGAAGAACGCAGCGAAAUGCGAUAAGUAAUGUGAAUUGCAGAAUUCAGUGAAUCAUCGAAUCUUUGAACGCACAUUGCGCCCGCCAGUAUUCUGGCGGGCAUGCCUGUUCGAGCGUCAUUACAACCCUCAGGCCCCCGGGCCUGGCGUUGGGGAUCGGCGGAGCCCCCCGUGGGCACACGCCGUCCCCCAAAUACAGUGGCGGUCCCGCCGCAGCUUCCAUCGCGUAGUAGCUAACACCUCGCGACUGGAGAGCGGCGCGGCCACGCCGUAAAACACCCAACUCUUCUGAAGUUGACCUCGAAUCAGGUAGGAAUACCCGCUGAACCUAAGCAUAUCA
rnacentral:misc_RNA from 2 species